UUGGCACCAAUAUAGCCGGCCGAAGAGCUUUUCCUGCGACUAAAACUAGCACCAUAUAUAUCACCGUAUCACAUCUUCCUUCCAUCCAUUUUCUUAAAAUACAACAACCCUAGCUUGAAGAGGCAUCUUGCCAGCAACCCAUCGUGAAGGAGAUUGAGUGCCGAUAGCUGCACCCAUCGUAAAGGUAGACGAUCGCUAGUAGCUGCAACCCUUGUGAAGGUGCUUGAGCAUUGGUGGCACCACACCCCUCACAUAAAUCAAAGCAAGCAGAUUCUGCAUGCAGAGAAUCACCAUCUGAAGAGAGAAUUCGCCGUAGUGCAGCUUCUACAGGGGAUUGUCCAACUGCUAUCAGAGAUUGUGAGAGAGUUUCUGAUUCUCGUUCAUCUGAUAAGUUUAAAUCAAAGGAUUGCAUCGAUUUUAUGGAAACUGCUGCUGCUUCUCAGUAUGAUAGGAACCCAUGAUCUGAUGCUUUUUCUUGACCAAAUAAGUCGAUUGCUUGGCCCUCAACUUAUGUGGCAGUUGCUGAAGAUUAGUAGAAGAAACCAUUUGCAAUCAUCAUGCAUGGACAUUGAGCUUAAAUAAUUUUGUUUGUUUCAAUAAAGAACGUCUUCAGUAUGGUUGUUAUGACUACGUUUGUUCGUGUAUGCUAUUUAGUAUCUGUUACCAUGUAAAGCAACCUCUUUUGUUUCGGUUAAGAAAUUCAGCUUUUGUUAUA